CGGGCUGCAGCAGUGGGGAAUUUUGGACAAUGGGCGAAAGCCUGAUCCAGCAAUGCCGCGUGAGUGAAGAAGGCCUUCGGGUUGUAAAGCUCUUUUGUCAGGGAAGAAACGGUGUCCUCUAAUACAGGGCACUAAUGACGGUACCUGAAGAAUAAGCACCGGCUAACUACGUGCCAGCAGCCGCGGUAAUACGUAGGGUGCAAGCGUUAAUCGGAAUUACUGGGCGUAAAGCGUGCGCAGGCGGUUAUAUAAGUCAGAUGUGAAAUCCCUGGGCUCAACCUAGGAACUGCAUUUGAGACUGUAUGGCUAGAGUGUGUCAGAGGGGGGUAGAAUUCCACGUGUAGCAGUGAAAUGCGUAGAUAUGUGGAGGAAUACCGAUGGCGAAGGCAGCCCCCUGGGAUAACACUGACGCUCAUGCACGAAAGCGUGGGGAGCAAACAGGAUUAGAUACCCGAGU
rnacentral:rRNA from 1 species